rnacentral:rRNA from 1 species
CCUACGGGCGACAGCAGUGGGGAAUAUUGCGCAAUGGGCGAAAGCCUGACGCAGCGACGCCGCGUGAGGGAUGCAGGUCUUCGGAUCGUCAACCUCUGUCAGCAGGGAAGAACGGUCACUGUGCUAAUCAGCAGUGAAUUGACGGUACCUGCAAAGGAAGCACCGGCUAACUCCGUGCCAGCAGCCGCGGUAAUACGGAGGGUGCGAGCGUUAAUCGGAAUUACUGGGCGUAAGGCGCUCGUAGGCGGUAUGUCAAGUCAAGGGUUAAAGCCCCGGGCUCAACGUGGGAACUGCCUUUGAAACUGGAAAACUUGAGUGUGGGAGAGGAUAGUGGAAUUCCAGGUGUAGGAGUGAAAGGCGUAGAUAUCAGGAGGAACAUCAGUGGCGAAGGCGACUUUCUGGCACAUAACUGACGCUGAGGAGCGAAAGCGUGGGUAGCAAACAGGAUUAGAUACCCUAGUAGUC